GAUGAACGCUGGCGGCGUGCCUAAUACAUGCAAGUCGAGCGAACAGACGAGGAGCUUGCUCCUCUGACGUUAGCGGCGGACGGGUGAGUAACACGUGGAUAACCUACCUAUAAGACUGGGAUAACUUCGGGAAACCGGAGCUAAUACCGGAUAACAUGUUGAACCGCAUGGUUUAACAGUGAAAGACGGUCUUGCUGUCACUUAUAGAUGGAUCCGCGCCGCAUUAGCUAGUUGGUAAGGUAACGGCUUACCAAGGCAACGAUGCGUAGCCGACCUGAGAGGGUGAUCGGCCACACUGGAACUGAGACACGGUCCAGACUCCUACGGGAGGCAGCAGUAGGGAAUCUUCCGCAAUGGGCGAAAUCCUGACGGAGCAACGCCGCGUGAGUGAAGAAGGUCUUCGGAUCGUAAAACUCUGUUAUUAGGGAAGAACAAAUGUGUAAGUAACUAUGCACGUCUUGACGGUACCUAAUCAGAAAGCCACGGCUAACUACGUG
rnacentral:rRNA from 1 species